ACAGAGCAUCUGGAGCCGAUUUUCUAGACACCAAUCACCCAGAACCAAUACAAAUCUGAGUGCAGAAUACAAGGCAAACAACACAUGUACAGUGUCAGGAAACAAGCC